UCUUUUUCCACCGGAGCUUGCUCCACCGGAAAAAGAAGAGUGGCGAACGGGUGAGUAACACGUGGGUAACCUGCCCAUCAGAAGGGGAUAACACUUGGAAACAGGUGCUAAUACCGUAUAACAAUCGAAACCGCAUGGUUUUGAUUUGAAAGGCGCUUUCGGGUGUCGCUGAUGGAUGGACCCGCGGUGCAUUAGCUAGUUGGUGAGGUAACGGCUCACCAAGGCCACGAUGCAUAGCCGACCUGAGAGGGUGAUCGGCCACAUUGGGACUGAGACACGGCCCAAACUCCUACGGGAGGCAGCAGUAGGGAAUCUUCGGCAAUGGACGAAAGUCUGACCGAGCAACGCCGCGUGAGUGAAGAAGGUUUUCGGAUCGUAAAACUCUGUUGUUAGAGAAGAACAAGGAUGAGAGUAACUGUUCAUCCCUUGACGGUAUCUAACCAGAAAGCCACGGCUAACUACGUGCCAGCAGCCGCGGUAAUACGUAGGUGGCAAGCGUUGUCCGGAUUUAUUGGGCGUAAAGCGAGCGCAGGCGGUUUCUUAAGUCUGAUGUGAAAGCCCCCGGCUCAACCGGGGAGGGUCAUUGGAAACUGGGAGACUUGAGUGCAGAAGAGGAGAGUGGAAUUCCAUGUGUAGCGGUGAAAUGCGUAGAUAUAUGGAGGAACACCAGUGGCGAAGGCGGCUCUCUGGUCUGUAACUGACGCUGAGGCUCGAAGCGUGGGGAGCAAACAGGAUUAGAUACCCUGGUAGUCCACGCCGUAAACGAUGAGUGCUAAGUGUUGGAGGGUUUCCGCCCUUCAGUGCUGCAGCUAACGCAUUAAGCACUCCGCCUGGGG
rnacentral:rRNA from 1 species